rnacentral:rRNA from 1 species
GACGAACGCUGGCGGCGUGCUUAACACAUGCAAGUCGAACGGAAAGGCCCUGCUUUUGUGGGGUGCUCGAGUGGCGAACGGGUGAGUAGCACGUGAGUAACCUGCCCUUGACUUUGGGAUAACUUCAGGAAACUGGGGCUAAUACCGGAUAGGAGCUCCUGCUGCAGGGUGGGGGUUGGAAAGUUUCGGCGGUUGGGGAUGGACUCGCGGCUUAUCAGCUUGUUGGUGGGGUAGUGGCUUACCAAGGCUUUGACGGGUAGCCGGCCUGGGAGGGUGACCGGCCACAUUGGGACUGAGCUACGGCCCAGACUCCUACGGGAGGCAGCAGUGGGGAAUAUUGCACAGUGGGCGGAAGCCUGAUGCAGCAACGCCGCGUGCGGGAUGACGGCCUUCGGGUUGUAAACCGCUUUCGCCUGUGACGAAGCGUGAGUGACGGUAAUGGGUAAAGAAGCACCGGCUAACUACGUG